rnacentral:rRNA from 1 species
UAUUACAGCCAUAUCACCCUGCAGCCCAAGACUGGUUGCCCACUGAAGCUAAGCAGGGUUGAGCCUGGUCAGUACCUGGAUAGGAGACCUCCUGGGAAAACUAGGUUGCUGUUGGAA